rnacentral:rRNA from 1 species
UACGGAGGGUGCAAGCGUUAUCCGGAUUCACUGGGUUUAAAGGGUGCGUAGGUGGGCUAGUAAGUCCGUGGUGAAAUCUCUGAGCUUAACUCGGAAACUGCCGUGGAUACUAUUAGUCUUGAAUCUCGUGGAGGUAAGCGGAAUAUGUCAUGUAGCGGUGAAAUGCUUAGAUAUGACAUAGAACACCGAUAGCGUAGGCAGCUUGCUACACGAGUAUUGACACUGAGGCACGAAAGCGUGGGGAUCAAACAGG